UGUAGCUUGACAUUGGGUCUUGGUACUACAUGUACAGGAUAGGUGGGAGGCUUUGAAACCAGGACGCCAGUUUUGGCGGAGCCAUCCUUGGGAUACCACCCUUGUAGUACUGGGACUCUAACCAUAGGCCAUGAAUCUGGUCUUGGGACACUGUCAGGUGGGCAGUUUGACUGGGGCGGUCGCCUCCCAAAAGGUAACGGAGGCGCUCAAAGGUUCUCUCAGUACGGUCGGAAAUCGUACGUAGAGUGUAAAGGCAAAAGAGGGCUUGAUUGCAAGACAUACAGGUCGAGCAAGGAUGAAAAUCGGACUUAGUGAUCCGGUGGUGCUGCGUGGA
rnacentral:rRNA from 1 species